rnacentral:rRNA from 1 species
GAUGAACGCUGGCGGCGUGCCUAAUACAUGCAAGUCGAGCGAACGGACGAGAAGCUUGCUUCUCUGAUGUUAGCGGCGGACGGGUGAGUAACACGUGGAUAACCUACCUAUAAGACUGGGAUAACUUCGGGAAACCGGAGCUAAUACCGGAUAAUAUUUUGAACCGCAUGGUUCAAAAGUGAAAGACGGUCUUGCUGUCACUUAUAGAUGGAUCCGCGCUGCAUUAGCUAGUUGGUAAGGUAACGGCUUACCAAGGCAACGAUGCAUAGCCGACCUGAGAGGGUGAUCGGCCACACUGGAACUGGGACACGGUCCAGACUCCUACGGGAGGCAGCAGUAGGGAAUCUUCCGCAAUGGGCGAAAGCCUGACGGAGCAACGCCGCGUGAGUGAUGAAGGUCUUCGGAUCGUAAAACUCUGUUAUUAGGGAAGAACAUAUGUGUAAGUAACUGUGCACAUCUUGACGGUACCUAAUCAGAAAGCCACGGCUAACUACGUGCCAGCAGCCGCGGUAAUACGUAGGUGGCAAGCGUUAUCCGGAAUUAUUGGGCGUAAAGCGCGCGUAGGCGGUUUUUUAAGUCUGAUGUGAAAGCCCACGGCUCAACCGUGGAGGGUCAUUGGAAACUGGAAAACUUGAGUGCAGAAGAGGAAAGUGGAAUUCCAUGUGUAGCGGUGAAAUGCGCAGAGAUAUGGAGGAACACCAGUGGCGAAGGCGACUUUCUGGUCUGUAACUGACGCUGAUGUGCGAAAGCGUGGGGAUCAAACAGGAUUAGAUACCCUGGUAGUCCACGCCGUAAACGAUGAGUGCUAAGUGUUAGGGGGUUUCCGCCCCUUAGUGCUGCAGCUAACGCAUUAAGCACUCCGCCUGGGGAGUACGACCGCAAGGUUGAAACUCAAAGGAAUUGACGGGGACCCGCACAAGCGGUGGAGCAUGUGGUUUAAUUCGAAGCAACGCGAAGAACCUUACCAAAUCUUGACAUCCUUUGACAACUCUAGAGAUAGAGCCUUCCCCUUCGGGGGACAAAGUGACAGGUGGUGCAUGGUUGUCGUCGGCUCGUGUCGUGAGAUGUUGGGUUAAGUCCCGCAACGAGCGCAACCCUUAAGCUUAGUUGCCAUCAUUAAGUUGGGCACUCUAAGUUGACUGCCGGUGACAAACCGGAGGAGGGUGGGGAUGACGUCAAAUCAUCAUGCCCCUUAUGAUUUGGGCUACACACGUGCUACAAUGGACAAUACAAAGGGCAGCGAAACCGCGAGGUCAAGCAAAUCCCAUAAAGUUGUUCUCAGUUCGGAUUGUAGUCUGCAACUCGACUACAUGAAGCUGGAAUCGCUAGUAAUCGUAGAUCAGCAUGCUACGGUGAAUACGUUCCCGGGUCU